rnacentral:lncRNA from 1 species
CCAGGCUGAUCUUUCUAGAUCUAUCAUCAGUCCAAAUUCUACACCAAUGUCAUAAUGUAGCUCAUUAUUACAUACACUCUUGACAGAAAACUUAAGGUGGAGAUGAUAACCAAAGAGGUGGGUCCUUCUCCUGUUUCAUUGUCAUCGUAGACACUUGCUGACAUUUAAUGAGGACAAAAAGACACUAUGGCAGAGGACAGAUGAGCAAGGGAAACUAGGUAUGGCCACAAGUCACAGCUUUGGCCAGUGAGAUGCA